AUUGAACGCUGGUGGCAGGCUUAACACAUGCAAGUCGAGCGGAGCGAGGGUGCUUGCACCUUAGCUUAGCGGCGGACGGGUGAGUAAUGCUUAGGAAUCUGCCUAUUAGUGGGGGACAACAUUCCGAAAGGAAUGCUAAUACCGCAUACGCCCUACGGGGGAAAGCAGGGGAUCUUUGGACCUUGCGCUAAUAGAUGAGCCUAAGUCGGAUUAGCUAGUUGGUGGGGUAAAGGCCUACCAAGGCGACGAUCUGUAGCGGGUCUGAGAGGAUGAUCCGCCACACUGGGACUGAGACACGGCCCAGACUCCUACGGGAGGCAGCAGUGGGGAAUAUUGGACAAUGGGCGGAAGCCGGAUCCAGCCAUGCCGCGUGUGUGAAGAAGUCCUUUUGGUUGUAAAGCACUUUAAGCGAGGAGGAGGAGCUCUAGGUUAAUACCCUAGAUGCUUGGACGUUACUCGCAGAAUAAGCACCGGCUAACUCUGUGCCAGCCGCCGCGGUAAAAC
rnacentral:rRNA from 1 species